rnacentral:rRNA from 1 species
AGCGAGAAAGGGGCUUCGGCCCUGAGUAAAGCGGCGCACGGGUGAGUAACACGUGGGUAAUCUGCCCUAGAGUGGGGAAUAACAUCGGGAAACCGAUGCUAAUACCGCAUACGCUCAUGAGAUCUUCGGAUUUUGUGACGAAAGGAGCAAUCCGCUCUUGGAGGAGCCCGCGGCUGAUUAGCUAGUUGGUAAGGUAAUGGCUUACCAAGGCUACGAUCAGUAUCCGGUCUGAGAGGACGGUCGGACACACUGGAACUGAGACACGGUCCAGACUCCUACGGGAGGCAGCAGUGGGGAAUUUUUGGCAAUGGGGGAAACCCUGACCAAGCAACGCCGCGUGGAUGAUGAAGUAUCUUGGUACGUAAAAUCCUUUCGACGGGGAAGAAAACCGCAAGGUUUGACGGUACCCGUAGAAGAAGCCCCGGCUAACUCCGUGCCAGCAGCCGCGGUAAUACGGGGGGGGCAAGCGUUGUUCGGAAUUACUGGGCGUAAAGGGCGCGUAGGCGGUUUGUUAAGUUGGAUGUGAAAACUGUGGGCUCAACCCACAGCCUGCAUCCAAUACUGACAGGCUAGAGUUCUGGAGGGGAUAGCGGAAUUCCUGGUGUAGCGGUGAAAUGCGUAGAUAUCAGGAGGAACACCGGUGGCGAAGGCGGCUAUCUGGACAGAGUCUGACGCUGAUGCGCGAAAGCUAGGGGAGCAAACAGGAUUAGAUACCCUGGUAGUCCUAGCCCUAAACGAUGGAUACUUGCUGUGACUGGGAUUGAAUCCAGUCGUGGCGAAGCUAACGCAUUAAGUAU